rnacentral:rRNA from 1 species
AUACGGAGGAUGCGAGCGUUAUCCGGAUUUAUUGGGUUUAAAGGGAGCGUAGGCGGGAGCUUAAGUCAGCGGUUAAAUGGUGCGGCUCAACCGUGCCCUGCCGUUGAAACUGGGUUUCUUGAGAGUGCAAGAGGCGGAUGGAAUUCAUGGUGUAGCGGUGAAAUGCUUAGAUAUCAUGAAGAACUCCGAUUGCGAAGGCAGUACGCUUGGGCACGUCUGACGCUGAUGCUCGAAGGUGCGGGAAUCAAACAGGAUUAGAUACCCUGGUAGUCCGCACGGUAAACGAUGAUUACCCGCUGUCGGCGGCAGACAGUCGGCGGCCAAGCGAAAGUGAUAAGUAAUCCACCUGGGGAGUACGCCGGCAACGGUGAAACUCAAAUGAAUUGACGGGG